rnacentral:rRNA from 1 species
AGAAUUUUAAUGGUCGAACAGACCAACCCUUAAAGACUACUACAUCUUUAGGAUAUUCUGAUUCAACAUCGAGGUCACAAACCUUUUUUUCGAUAAGAACUCUCAAAAAAGAUAAUGCUGUUAUCCCUACGGUAACUAAUUCCUUUAAUCAAUAAAAUUGGAUCAUAACCAGAAAGUCUAUAUAAAAAAAGAAGCUUCAUCUGUUCCUUAGUCGCCCCAACCAAAAUAACUUAAUAAAUUUUGUUUUAUAAAUAUUAGCAAUCUAUAUUAAUUUCUUUAUAAGCUCGAUAGGGUCUUCUUGUCUUUCAAUAAUAUACUAGGCCUUUGCACCUAAAAGUGAAAUUACAUUAAAUUUUAAAGAGACAGUUUUACUUCCGUCAAACCAUUCAUUCUAGUCCCCAAUUAUAGGACAAGUUAUUAUGCUACCUUUGCACGGUCAGAGUACCGCGGCCGUUUAAAUAUUUCACCGGGCAGGUCAGACUCCUUAUAGAUAUAUAAAUCAAGGAGCC